CAGUAGCCGCGGGAAUACGUAGGGUGCGAGCGUUAAUCGGAAUUACUGGGCGUAAAGCGUGCGCAGGCGGUUCGUUAAGACAGAUGUGAAAUCCCCGGGCUUAACCUGGGGACUGCAUUUGUGACUGGCGAGCUAGAGUAUGGCAGAGGGGGGUAGAAUUCCACGUGUAGCAGUGAAAUGCGUAGAGAUGUGGAGGAAUACCGAUGGCGAAGGCAGCCCCCUGGGCCAAUACUGACGCUCAUGCACGAAAGCGUGGGGAGCAAACAGGAUUAGAUACCCGUGUAGUCCCUGUCUCUUAUAA
rnacentral:rRNA from 1 species